rnacentral:rRNA from 1 species
AGUUUGAUCCUGGCUCAGGAUGAACGCUGGCGGCGUGCCUAAUACAUGCAAGUCGAACGAAUCUCUUUUAGAGAUGAGUGGCGAACGGGUGAGUAAUACAUAGGUAACCUGCCCCUGUGCGGGGGAUAACAGGAGGAAACUCCUGCUAAUACCGCAUAGCCAUGAGCACCGCAUGGAGCUCAUGCCAAAUAUCCUUUAUGGGAUAGCGCAGGGAUGGACCUAUGGCGCAUUAGCUGGUUGGCGGGGCAACGGCCCACCAAGGCAACGAUGCGUAGCCGGCCUGAGAGGGCGGACGGCCACAUUGGGACUGAGACACGGCCCAGACUCCUACGGGAGGCAGCAGUAGGGAAUUUUCGGCAAUGGGGGAAACCCUGACCGAGCAACGCCGCGUGAGCGAAGAAGGCCUUCGGGUCGUAAAGCUCUGUUGUAAAGGAAGAACGGCGCAUACAGGAAAUGGUAUGCGAGUGACGGUACUUUACCAGAAAGCCACGGCUAACUACGUGCCAGCAGCCGCGGUAAUACGUAGGUGGCGAGCGUUAUCCGGAAUCAUUGGGCGUAAAGAGGGAGCAGGCGGCCGCAAGGGUCUGUGGUGAAAGACCGAAGCUAAACUUCGGUAAGCCAUGGAAACCGGGCGGCUAGAGUGCGGAAGAGGAUCGUGGAAUUCCAUGUGUAGCGGUGAAAUGCGUAGAUAUAUGGAGGAACACCAGUGGCGAAGGCGACGGUCUGGGCCGCAACUGACGCUCAUUCCCGAAAGCGUGGGGAGCAAAUAGGAUUAGAUACCCUAGUAGUCCACGCCGUAAACGAUGGUCACUAAGUGUCGGGGGUCAAACCCCGGUGCUGCAGUCAACGCAAUAAGUGACCCGCCUGAGUA